UUUAAAAUUUUUCUACAUAAAAAUGUAAGUUUGUAAAAUCAAACAAUAAUCUUGAAACAUAAAAAAUAUAAUUUUUUUCUUUCUUGAUAUAUCCACUACAACUCAUUAAAAUAAUCAGUGUCUCCAAGUAAUGGUUAAAUUCACGUCAGAAUUUAUAAGAGCUGGUUUCAAAAUUUUUUGAAAUUAAAAGUUACUUGCCUACCAGAUAAGUGUACUAUUUUUACAUAAGAUUCUUUUUCUAUCUGAAAAACAAUGGCUCGAUUAUUAAGUAUUUUGUUUCUGAUUGUCCUUAUUGUGGGUAUUUCAGAAUGUUUUUUGGCUGGAAUAUUCAGAGGAGGAAUGAAAAUGUUAAAUUCAGUGGGUUCAACAAUAGUGAAAGGAGUUCAUCAUGUUUUUUCAAAUAAUGAUGAUAAUGACGACAAUUAAUCAACAUAAAAAAGAUACGAGAAAAACUUGAAAAAAACAUAAUACAAAUUCUUCAAAAUAAUAAUUAAUUAAUCAUUUGUAUUUAAAAAUGGUGUAUUUUUUAAAAUUCAGUAAAGAAUUAUAACAACAAAA